CCUACGGGAGGCAGCAGUGGGGAAUAUUGGGCAAUGGGCGCAAGCCUGACCCAGCAAUGCCGCGUGAAGGAAGAAGGCUUUCGGGUUGUAAACUUCUUUGACAGGGGAAGAGCAGAAGACGGUACCCUGAAAACAAGACACGGCUAACUACGUGACAGCAGCCGCGGUAAUACGUAGGUGGCAAGCGUUGUCCGGAUUUACUGGGUGUAAAGGGCGUGUAGCCGGGAAGGCAAGUCAGAUGUGAAAUCCAGAGGCUCAACCUGCGAAUUGCAUUUGACACUGUUUUUCUAGAGUACUGGAGAGGCAGACGGAAUUCCUGGUGUAGCGGUGAAAUGCGUAGAUAUAAGGAGGAACACCAGUGGCGAAGGCAGUCUGCUGGACAGCAACUGACGGUGAGGCGCGAAAGCGUGGGGAGCAAACAGGAUUAGAUACCCUUGUAGUC
rnacentral:rRNA from 1 species